rnacentral:rRNA from 1 species
GGCGGCGUGCCUAAUACAUGCAAGUAGAACGCUGAAGAGAGGAGCUUGCUCUUCUUGGAUGAGUUGCGAACGGGUGAGUAACGCGUAGGUAACCUGCCUUGUAGCGGGGGAUAACUAUUGGAAACGAUAGCUAAUACCGCAUAACAAUGGAUGACACAUGUCAUUUAUUUGAAAGGGGCAAUUGCUCCACUACAAGAUGGACCUGCGUUGUAUUAGCUAGUAGGUGAGGUAACGGCUCACCUAGGCGACGAUACAUAGCCGACCUGAGAGGGUGAUCGGCCACACUGGGACUGAGACACGGCCCAGACUCCUACGGGAGGCAGCAGUAGGGAAUCUUCGGCAAUGGGGGCAACCCUGACCGAGCAACGCCGCGUGAGUGAAGAAGGUUUUCGGAUCGUAAAGCUCUGUUGUAAGUCAAGAACGAGUGUGAGAGUGGAAAGUUCACACUGUGACGGUAGCUUACCAGAAAGGGACGGCUAACUACGUGCCAGCAGCCGCGGUAAUACGUAGGUCCCGAGCGUUGUCCGGAUUUAUUGGGCGUAAAGCGAGCGCAGGCGGUUUGAUAAGUCUGAAGUUAAAGGCUGUGGCUCAACCAUAGUUCGCUUUGGAAACUGUCAAACUUGAGUGCAGAAGGGGAGAGUGGAAUUCCAUGUGUAGCGGUGAAAUGCGUAGAUAUAUGGAGGAACACCGGUGGCGAAAGCGGCUCUCUGGUCUGUAACUGACGCUGAGGCUCGAAAGCGUGGGGAGCGAACAGGAUUAGAUACCCUGGUAGUCCACGCCGUAAACGAUGAGUGCUAGGUGUUGGAUCCUUUCCGGGAUUCAGUGCCGCAGCUAACGCAUUAAGCACUCCGCCUGGGGAGUACGACCGCAAGGUUGAAACUCAAAGGAAUUGACGGGGGCCCGCACAAGCGGUGGAGCAUGUGGUUUAAUUCGAAGCAACGCGAAGAACCUUACCAGGUCUUGACAUCCCGAUGCUAUUUCUAGAGAUAGAAAGUUACUUCGGUACAUCGGUGACAGGUGGUGCAUGGUUGUCGUCAGCUCGUGUCGUGAGAUGUUGGGUUAAGUCCCGCAACGAGCGCAACCCCUAUUGUUAGUUGCCAUCAUUCAGUUGGGCACUCUAGCGAGACUGCCGGUAAUAAACCGGAGGAAGGUGGGGAUGACGUCAAAUCAUCAUGCCCCUUAUGACCUGGGCUACACACGUGCUACAAUGGUUGGUACAACGAGUUGCGAGUCGGUGACGGCAAGCUAAUCUCUUAAAGCCAAUCUCAGUUCGGAUUGUAGGCUGCAACUCGCCUACAUGAAGUCGGAAUCGCUAGUAAUCGCGGAUCAGCACGCCGCGGUGAAUACGUUCCCGGGCCUUGCACACACCGCCCGUCA